rnacentral:rRNA from 1 species
AUUGAACGCUGGCGGCAAGCCUAACACAUGCAAGUCGAACGAGUGGCGGACGGGUGAGUAAUGUCUGGGAACCUGCCUGAUGUAGGGGGAUAACUACUGGAAACGUUAGCUAAUACCGCAUACCAUCGGAUGUGCCCAUAGGGGAUUAGCUAGUAGGUGGGGUAAAGGCUCACCUAGGCGACGAUCCCUAGCUGGUCUGAGAGGAUGACCGGCCACACUGGAACUGAGACACGGUCCAGACUCCUACGGGAGGCAGCAGUGGGGAAUAUUGCACAAUGGGCGCAAGCCUGAUGCAGCCAUGCCGCGUGUAUGAAGAAGGCCUUCGGGUUGUAAAGUACUUUCAGCGGGGAGGCGUUACCCGCAGAAGAAGCACCGGCUAACUACGUGCCAGCCGCCGCGGUAAUAC